CAUCACCAAGUUUAAGUGGACUUAAGUUGGGGUUCGAGUCCAUUUAUAAGAUCCCUUUUGCUGAUGCUCUGGAUUUGUUUCGAGGAAGGAAAGUCUAUUUGGAAGAUGGCUUUGCUUACGUACCACUUAAGGACAUUGUGGCAAUCAUCCUGAAUGAAUUUAGAGCCAAACUGUCUAAGGCUUUGGCAAUAUGGGGUCUUGCCAUGUUGCCCAGGCUGGUCUUGAACUCCUAGCCUCAAGUGAUCCACCCACCUCAGCCUCCCAAAGUGCUGGGAUUAUAGGCACGAGGCACCGUGCCUGGGCCCUGUACUCUGAUUGUCUGAAUAAAAAGUCUCUGGGGAUGGACCCUAGGUGAUUCAUAGGCACACUGAAAUCUGAGAACCAGGUACAGGAAAUAAAAUUAUUUGAAAUGC
rnacentral:sRNA from 1 species